UAAAGCUAACAUUCACGAUAACCCGCAA
rnacentral:sRNA from 1 species